UACGUAGGGUGCGAGCGUUAAUCGGAAUUACUGGGCGUAAAGCGUGCGCAGGCGGCGGCUCAAGUCAGGUGUGAAAUCCCCGGGCUUAACCUGGGAAUUGCGCUUGAAACUAGGCUGCUUGAGUGUGGCAGAGGGGGGUGGAAUUCCGACGUGUAGCAGUGAAAUGCGUAGAGAUGUGGAGGAACACCGAUGGCGAAGGCAGCCCCCUGGGUCAACACUGACGCUCAUGCACGAAAGCGUGGGGAGCAAACAGG
rnacentral:rRNA from 1 species